AUUAGUUGCUACAGUUCAGUUGGGCACUCUAAUGAGACUGCCGGUGACGAAACCGGAGGAAGGUGGGGAUGACGUCAAGUCCUCAUGGCCCUUAUAGGUGGGGCUACACACGUCAUACAAUGGAUGGUACAAAGGGUCGCCAACCCGCGAGGGGGAGCCAAUCCCAUAAAGCCAUUCGUAGUCCGGAUCGCAGUCUGCAACUCGACUGCGUGAAGUCGGAAUCGCUAGUAAUCGUGGAUCAGAAUGUCACGGUGAAUACGUUCCCGGGUCUU
rnacentral:rRNA from 1 species